GAUGAAGAACGUAGUGAAAUGCGAUAAGUAAUGUGAAUUGCAGAAUUCAGUGAAUCAUCGAAUCUUUGAACGCACAUUGCGCCCCUUGGUAUUCCGAGGGGCAUGCCUGUUCGAGCGUCAUUAUAACCCCUCAAGCUCAGCUUGGUGUUGGGGCCUGCUGCACUGGCAGCCCUUAAAAUCAGUGGCGGCGCCAUCUGGCUCUAAGCGUAGUAAUUCUUCUCGCUAUGGAGUCCUUGUGGAUGCUUGCCAUCAACCCCCAAUUUUUCUAUGGUUGACCUCGGAUCAGGUAGGGAUACCCGCUGAACUUAAGCAUAUCAAUAAGCGGAGGA
rnacentral:misc_RNA from 1 species